UAAGAAUGAAAUUGACAGUGAUUGUGUUGUUAUUCAGUGGAAUGACAUUUUCACCAUUAAUGAAGAAGAAGCAACAAGAAGUGAACUUUUGUUAAUACAACUAGCCAAAGAGAUGGUCCAAAGCAGGGCAAAUGACAUGUUGCCAUAGAAAAUGUGGAGGAGCAAAAGAAGGCUGUAGGAAACAUGAUUUAGAAAGUAUUUCAAGGCCUAAUGUUGCAUUAUUGCAAUCUAGAGGCCUUCAACCUGAAUGUUCCAGUGAUAUUAAACAAUUCCUACUGUUUCAUCAUACGACUUAUGCAUCUAUUUCAGCAAAUGAUGCUGGUCGUUUUCAGGAACGACUGAUUCUUAUUAUCUCUGGAUGACAUUCUCAAAUAUCUGGUUGAAACAUCUGUAUUCAGACAAAUCUGCUUCCUCUGAGAGUAAGACUUUGCGGACUCUGUUACAGGAUUUCCUGGAGGUAGAAAGUAUAGAGUCUGAAUGACAAAGACCUACGAAAAAGAGAUACCACAGGAUAAAUUCACAGAUGGUGUGCUGUCCAAGACAGAACGCAAACAAAAUUUCCUCUCAAGAUUUAUCAUCUCACAGGUACCAGACACUCUCGUUGAGCUACUGAUUCUAGUUAUAUAUUAUAAAUACUUUAUUUCAAGGAUGAAUAUUUUUAAAUGACAUUUACUAUGUGCAUAAGCAAGCAUGUAAAAAACAUAAUAUUUAAACCAUAAAUUAACUUGCCUACUAACUUGCUUUAAUCUGUAGAAUGUGUAUAUGUCAAUCUGAUAGAAUCAACAGAGAGUGUUCUCUAAGGCCACUGUUGCAAAAAAUGUUAAAGAUAUAUGGCAACUUGAAGCUUAUUUCUGAAGUUUAUUUUUUAGCGAUACACUAAGCAAAGCAUCGUGCUAUAAUAACUGCCCACUGCCUGAGCUACCCAGAAUGAAAAGACUUUAUGGAAGCUUGACUUCAUGGCAAAUGUGAAAUAUUUAAAAUGUAUGUAGCCAAGCGUCACUUGACAUGGAUGUUAUAGUCACUGUCUGUUGUAGAAUCCAUAUGAAUAGUGUGUAAAGGACUGAACUUUUUCUUAGAGCUAAAAAGAAAGCAAAAAAAGUCAGGACUGGCUGUGUUUUGGGAGACGUAAAUUCAUAUACCUGUGAAGAAAAAGGCAGCUGCUGUGGAUCCAAGAUAGUUUACGGUUCAUCAACUUAAAAAAGGACUGCCAGGAU
rnacentral:lncRNA from 1 species